rfam:TPA: Bos taurus chromosome 15, whole genome shotgun sequence.
UCCCUGAGGGUCCAGUGGUUAGGACUCUGCACUUUCACUGCUGGGGUCCCAGGUUCAAUCCCUGGUUGGGGAA